UACGUAGGGUGCAAGCGUUGUCCGGAAUUAUUGGGCGUAAAGAGCUCGUAGGCGGCCUGUCGCGUCUGCUGUGAAAACUCAGGGCUUAACCCUGAGCUUGCAGUGGGUACGGGCAGACUAGAGUGCGGUAGGGGAGACUGGAAUUCCUGGUGUAGCGGUGAAAUGCGCAGAUAUCAGGAGGAACACCGGUGGCGAAGGCGGGUCUCUGGGCCGUAACUGACGCUGAGGAGCGAAAGCAUGGGGAGCGAACAGG
rnacentral:rRNA from 1 species